UGAGUGGCGAACGGGUGAGUAACACGUGGACAACCUGCCUCAAGGCUGGGGAUAACAUUUGGAAACAGAUGCUAAUACCGAAUAAAACUUAGUGUCGCAUGACAAAAAGUUAAAAGGCGCUUCGGCGUCACCUAGAGAUGGAUCCGCGGUGCAUUAGUUAGUUGGUGGGGUAAAGGCCUACCAAGACAAUGAUGCAUAGCCGAGUUGAGAGACUGAUCGGCCACAUUGGGACUGAGACACGGCCCAAACUCCUACGGGAGGCUGCAGUAGGGAAUCUUCCACAAUGGGCGAAAGCCUGAUGGAGCAACGCCGCGUGUGUGAUGAAGGCUUUCGGGUCGUAAAGCACUGUUGUAUGGGAAGAACAGCUAGAAUAGGAAAUGAUUUUAGUUUGACGGUACCAUACCAGAAAGGGACGGCUAAAUACGUGCCAGCAGCCGCGGUAAUACGUAUGUCCCGAGCGUUAUCCGGAUUUAUUGGGCGUAAAGCGAGCGCAGACGGUUUAUUAAGUCUGAUGUGAAAGCCCGGAGCUCAACUCCGGAAUGGCAUUGGAAACUGGUUAACUUGAGUGCAGUAGAGGUAAGUGGAACUCCAUGUGUAGCGGUGGAAUGCGUAGAUAUAUGGAAGAACACCAGUGGCGAAGGCGGCUUACUGGACUGCAACUGACGUUGAGGCUCGAAAGUGUGGGUAGCAAACAGGAUUAGAUACCCUGGUAGUCCACACCGUAAACGAUGAACACUAGGUGUUAGGAGGUUUCCGCCUCUUAGUGCCGAAGCUAACGCAUUAAGUGUUCCGCCUGGGGAGUACGACCGCAAGGUUGAAACUCAAAGGAAUUGACGGGGACCCGCACAAGCGGUGGAGCAUGUGGGUUAAUUCGAAGCAACGCGAAGAACCUUACCAGGUCUUGACAUCCUUUGAAGCUU
rnacentral:rRNA from 1 species